UCAUUUUAUUAUACCAACCCCUGAUACAACUAGGAAGUAAAUUAAACUGUAACGUCGCCAUUAAAUUGUUGAAAUAAAAGACUCUAUAGAGAGGAUUAUUAUCAUAUUGAAGCCUGUGUCAAUAAAGACGAUCUAUUCAAGGCAUCAUGUCAGGCAAGAUAAAUAAUGGUAAAGGGAAAUCUUCAGCAAGACAUUCCACUAAGAAGAAUACAAUCCCCCAAAUAGAAACACAGCCAUCAGCUAGUACCAGUAGUAGUACAGAUACAGUAUCAGCUUUAGUUUCACAUGGCAAUACUAGUACAGAAAUCCGGGUAUCUAUUAUAGGAAAGACAGGAGUUGGUAAGAGCGCAUUAGGAAAUGCGCUGUUACAACAAGAUACUUUUAAAUCACAACAACAGCCCACCUCUGUAACAUCAGAAUGUGGUUUAGGACAACGACAUCUUCAAUUAAAUGGUGUGGAUUCCUUACUAAAAGUUGUGGAUACACCAGGUUUGUUUGACACGGGUAACAGUAACAAAACAAUAGCUAAGGAAAUCGUUAAAUGUAUUAAUAUUUUAUCACCAGGGCCACAUUUAUUUAUCUUUGUCUUUCGAAUCGACUUAAGACUCUCACAAGAGGACAUAAAAGUUCUUGAAUAUUUUAAAAAUACUUUCGGUGAAUUAAUUGAUAAAUUUGCCGUUGUGGUAUUAACUGGGAAAGAUCAUCUGAGAAACAGAAGUGAAGAAGAGGCUAUGCAUGAACUUCAUACUCAGUUAUCAACAUUUAGUGAUGUUUUUAAACACCGCCGAUACGCAACGAUCAAUAACAUAGAUGAAACAGAAGGCAAGAUGAAGGAUGUGAACAGAAUCUUACAAUUACUUCAGACAACUAUACAGAAUAAUGGUGGAGACUUUUAUGAAAACGAAAUGUACGAAGAGGCGAAGAAAUUAUUUGAGGCAAGAAUAUGCGACGAAGAAGAUCGCAAACAAAAAGCUUUAGCUGAAAGAGACGAACUUAAGAAAGAACAAAUUCGCCAAGAACAGAUUUGGCAGAAAGAGAAGGAGCAACUCACGAAACAAUGCGAGAAACAGAAUCGCCAAGAACAGAUUUGGCAGAAAGAGAGGGGACAACUCAUGAAACAAUGCGAGAAACAGAAUCGCCAAGAACAGAUUUGGCAGGAAGAGAAGGAGCAACUCCUGAAACAAUGGACUGAAGAACGUGCUAAAUUGAUUGAAGAUACAAGAAAUAAGGAAAUCGAUUUGGACAAAAGAGAAAUGGAAAUUCAACUGCUAGAAAGGGAAAGACAAUCAACACAGUGGUUAAGUUCAACUAGCAGACAAUCAUACACUGAACUAGCCAGUACUUCAACAUUUCAUCAUGGCAGCAGCCUUAAUACACUCAAUAUAUCUCGUGCUAAGAAACGCAAAUAUGAACCAAGUCGUAGAGAGAGAGGAAAGAUGCUUCAAGAGGAUGAAAAAAACAUUAAAGAUAAUUAUGCGUUUCUACUGGAUAAUAUAACUGAUCCGGAACGUUUAUCGGAUCGUCUGUUUGGAAAAUCAGUUUUUGAUACGGACGAUAUGGAAAAAAUAAAAGACGUAAAAGGAAAAAGGGCUAUGACCCGUGAACUAGUUAAUACAUUACUUAAUGGCGGACCAAAUUCCUACCAAAGUUUCAUUGAUAGUUUAAAGGAAGAAGGUUACACGACAAUAGUUGAACAAUUAGAAUCAAGUAGAGAUGAGAGCCAUGAAGAAAUAUCUGGUUACCAUGUUAACCAAUCAAUGAUAAGAGGAUUGGGUGAUAGAAACCAGUUAAUGCUUGGUGGAAUCGAUGAACACUAUGAUGUAUCAUAUUCAGAAGUCGGGAACAGAUCAGAGAUACACAAGGACCAUGGCGAGGUUGAUGUUGUGAAAGUUGUGGUCAAGAAGGCCAACAACACUGUUAUUUUAUCGAAGGUGAAGUCUGACCAUCAAAAGAUCAACGUAAAGCAGGAGAUAAUAUCAACAUGUCGACGUAAUGUUAAAAAUAUCGCCAACUGUGUUUUGUAUGAGAACCAAGACUCCAUGUUUAACGAUGUAUUAGAAGAUGAGCAAGAAGAUCAUGUUAAAACAACUGAUAUAGCAGUAGAUAUGACAGCUAGAACGAGUGACCCAGUAGGCCUAGCGAUUAAACAAGAACCACUCGAAAUGGAUGGGACUUAUGGGGUAACGCAACCAACUAUUAUGUCAUCCAAUACAAGACCAGAUACGGAUGAUACAUAUGAUCACUUACUAAUAGAUGAAGAAAGCAAAGGGAUGACAAUUCCAGAUGAUGUUAAAUAUAGUCAGACAUCUAUACAAAACAAUAUGGCCACCACCAUCACAUCAACAACUCCAUUAUUAAACCAACCAUUUGUUACACAAGAUGUAAAAACAACUAACUAUAAUAAAACAACCGACAACAAUAAAAUGGACUGGGAAUCAAUACGUCAAACUUGUCUACAUGGUACACUUGAUGAUGUCAAAACUUUAAUACAUCAAAAUAUCGAUUUAAAUAUUCCUGUCGGUGGUAGUAAUAUGACACCAGUAUUUUAUUGUGUGAUGUCUGACAUACAGCCGUUAGAUAAGAUACAAUUACUCUUCUCUGCUGGUGCCAUGUUACAUGUUAAGGGUUAUAAUGGUAAUAGUUUAUUACACUGGGCGUGUUGUUGGGGUACAAUAGACUGUGUAAAAUAUUUAUUGGAACAAGGACUUGAUACAAAUGAUAGGAAUGAUUCUAAUAGGACACCAGUAUUUUAUUGUGUGUUGUCUAACAAACAGCCGUUAGAUAAGAUACAGUUACUCUUCUCUGCUGGUGCCAUGUUAGAUGUUAAGGGUGAUCGUGGUAGUUUAUUAGACUUGGCUCGUCGGUUAGGUAAAACAGAAUGUGUAUCAUAUUUACGUGAAUUAGGCCUUGAUGAAUAGAAUAUAAAUGUCAAGUGUCGUGAUUAUGGUAGUUUAUUAGACUGGACUCGUCGGUGGCGUAAAUCAAAAUGUGUAUCAUAUUUAUUUUAAAUAGGCCUUGAUAAAUAGAAUAUAAAUAAUCAUACAACAUCUUUAUUUUACUUGUUAAUAAUUCUGUUAGAACUAAAUGAUGAAGAUGUUUUAUUUUGAUGUAAAUUUUUAAAUUUUGUUAUAAACCAUUUUCUGUCAAUCAACAACAUUCUGUACACAGACUGGCUACCUGUCAGCCAUUAAAACUAGUAACACGUCAUUACAAGUUUUUACAACGUCAUUGGUUAUUACGUCACAAGUCAAUAGGUCACGUUAAAUCUAUUUAUAAACAAAUUGAAAGUAGUAUUACCAGGUUGAAUAACAGGAAUAGAAAAUCAACUGAUGUGAUGUUUUGGUGGUCAUCAAAGUCAACUUUAACCCAAUAUUGUUUUAAAUAACAACACAAUGAAUUAUAUUAACCAAGAGAUAUGAUUGGAGAGGAAUAGAAUAAUAUUUGAAAUGAUGUUGAAAGAAUAUAUUUACUAUAGAAGAGCUGCUGUAUUCGAACAUACACCGUCAUUAAAAGUUGUUUGUGAUAAUUUGAUACGUGAUUGUGUCAAGAGAUAUCCACUAGAAAACUGUCCACCGUUUUAGCUGAAGAUCCUGAGAAUCAAUUGAAAGGUCGUAAAAAUCAGAUAGAGAGAGUUUAUUGUGGUCAUCUGUUUCAUAAUGGUUGUUUAGAUACGUACAUGAAAACACCUUCAUUUAUAGGAGGUAAAAAAUGUCCUUCCUGUGAUAAACGAAUGAAAAAUGGAAAGUGUCAGCUGAAGUAAUAGAGAAUAGAUGUGCACAUAAACAAGCUAAACAAAGAGAACUAGAAGAAGUUGUAGAUUUCUUUAAAAAAUUGAAAUAAUUUAAAAUAUACCUCUACUUUUGUAGAUAAACAUACCAAAUAUGUAUAUUCCACAAUCUUGGCUUCAAAUUUACAAAAAUAUUUAUUUACAUUGUAUUCAAUGUCUGACAUUUGAGAUAUUGAGGAAUCCUUUACAAACUACAAUAUUGUAAAAAUUGAAUCUCUGGAAGGCGUGUCAGUAUAAAAAUAUUCUGUUGAGUAUUUUACAAAGAUAUGAUAAAUUAAAAACGUGUCAAUAUUCGGAAUCUUCUACAGAUGAUAUAAAUGGGGUAUGAUCAAAAGUCAAGGCCACCUGUAAUCUUCUGUUUUAUCCGACUUGGGAGAUUUUCUAACGUUAAUUUUUCUUUCUUAAAUAUGCAAUAUAUUGUAAUAUAUAGAAUCCGGUCUUUUAUAUAGGCCUAUUGUAAUAUUUGAUAUAAAACUUACAAGUUCUACUUACUUGUUAGCCUCCAUCUUGUGUCACGUCCAUCUUAGCACCGACUUCUCAGAUUGUUACAUAUAUUUCUAUUUGAUCAUUGUUAACACUAGUAUUUCAUCUUGGUUGUUAUAAUAAUUAUGUUUUAUAACCAGAGUCCAGCUAUGUGGUUUUUACUGCGAGAACUUCGCUUUUCCACAUUAAACAGUGGAUGCUUUUUCCCACAGGGUUUUUUUUCAAUCCGCUGCGAUGGCAUCAAACAGCUGGAUCUCCUAUUUUAACUUGUUUUAAUUAUGACAAAGUGAGAAGAUGACCAGCCCUCUCUUCUCUUCUCACGACAGCGAUGUUAAAACUGUGUUUUAAAGUGACUUUUAGAUAUACAAGAACUUUUUAUUAUUUAGUGUUUUUACCUAUUUUCUAUAUAUUACUCAUUCACAUGUAAAUAACUUAAUUAAAUCAACCUGUCCAUAAUAUCGUGCAAUAAACAACAAUGUCCUAAGGGCAGAUAACUGUUCGUUGUAUUAAUAUGUAACCAAGAGAUAAAACCGAAACUUUUUAACAACUAAGGUAUAUUCACAACCUUUUAACUAAUUAGAAAGGUGAGAAUCGUGGCCGUGAUGGAACUUGGUCAUACAUGUUAAUGUUACAAAUGUCAUCAUUAAUCGGCAGAAUAUGCCGCCAUUAUCACCGGGUUAACCAAUGUGCGACGUCAAGGACGUUAAGGGUUUGUGAACGUUAUCUCCCAUAUUUAAUAUAUUAUAGAAUGAUUUACUAACUGUAUUUUAUUGUUAUUCAUGUCAUGACAUAACCUUGAAAUAAAGGAACGGGCAUAUUGAACGUAUUAUUAGUCUUAGUCGUUAGACAUUGAAGGAGGAAAACAACAGAAUAUAAGUCCAGCUAUUUGGCUAUCCCACUCUCCCAUCCCCACAUUUAUUUUAUAGUAGACAUCGAUACGGACAGGGUGUCGAUAACCUUACAAUAUAAGAUUUAGAUAAAGAGCUGACAGUUCUUGCUAUAAUAGUUCUUGUUGCUUAUGGUGGGCCUAUAGGAGGCGUGAUUCAAGCUCCUGUCUGUUUUAAAAAUAUUUUUUAUAAUUCUUAUACUCAUCUCAUAAAUUAUAAAUAUUUUAUAUUAGUAAAUAAACAAUGUAAUAUUGUU